UACGUAGGGUGCGAGCGUUGUCCGGAAUUACUGGGCGUAAAGAGCUCGUAGGUGGUUUGUCGCGUUGUCCGUGAAAACUCACAACUCAAUUGUGGGCGUGCGGGCGAUACGGGCAGACUGGAGUACUGCAGGGGAGACUGGAAUUCCUGGUGUAGCGGUGGAAUGCGCAGAUAUCAGGAGGAACACCGGUGGCGAAGGCGGUCUCUGGCAGUGAACUGACGCUGAGGAGCGAAAGCGUGGGGAGCGAACAGG
rnacentral:rRNA from 1 species